AUGAACUUCCAGAUGUUCAAGCUGGUUUUAGAAAAGGCAGAGGAACCAGAUUUCAAAUUGCCAACAUCCACUGGAUCAUGGAAAAAAGCAAGAGAGUUCCAGAAAAACAUGUGUUUCUGCUUUAUUGACUAUGCCAAAGCCUUUGACUGUGUGGAUCACAAUAAACUGUGGAACAUUCUGAAAGAGAUGGGAAUACUAGACCCCCUGACCUGCCUCUUGAGAAAUCUAUAUGCAAGUCAGGAAGCAACAGUUAGAACUGGACAUGGAACAACGGACUGGUUCCAAAUAGGAAAAGGAGUAUGUCAAGAUUGUAUAUUGUCACCCUGCUCAUUUAACUUCUAUGCAGAGUACAUCAUGACAAAUGCUGGGCUGCACGAAGCACAAGCUGGAAUCAAGAUUGCCGGGAGAAAUAUCAAUAACCUCAGAACUGCAGAUGACACCACCCUUAUGGCAGAAAGUGAAGAGGAACUAAAAAGCCUCUUGAUGAAAGAGGAGGGUGAAAAAGUUGGCUUAAAGCUCAACAUUCAGAAAAUGAAGAUCAUGGCAUCUGGUCCCAUCACUUCAUGGGAAAUAGAUGGGGAAACAGUGGAAACAGUGUCAGACUUUAUUUUGGGGGGCUCCAAAAUCAGUGCAGAUGGUGACUGCAGCCAUGAAAUUAAAAGACGCUUACUCCUUGGAAGAAAAGUUAUGACCAACCUAAAUAGCAUAUUGAAAAGCAGAGACAUUGCCAACAAAGGUCCAUUUGUCAAGGCUAUGGUUUUUCCAGUGGUCAUGUAUGGAUGUGAGAGUUGGACUGUGAAGAAAGCUGAGCACCGAAUAAUUGAUGCUUUUGAACUGUGGUGUUGGAGAAGACUCUUGAGAGUCCCUUGGACUGCAAGGAGAUCCAACCAGUCCAUUCUGAAGGAGAUCAGCCCUGGGAUUUCUUUGGAGGGAAUGAUGCUAAAGCUAAAACUCCAGUUCUUUGGCCACCUGAUGCAAAGAGUUGACUCAUUGGAAAAGACUCUGAUGCUGGGAGGGCUUGGGGGCAGGAGGAGAAGGGGACGACAGAGGAUGAGAUGGCUGGAUGGCAUCACUGACUCGAUGGACGUGAGUCUGAGUAAAUUCCAGGAGUUGGUGAUGGACAGGGAGGCCUGGCAUGCUGUGAUUUUGGGGUUGCAAAGAGUCGGACACGACUGA
rnacentral:lncRNA from 1 species